rnacentral:misc_RNA from 1 species
GAUGAAGAACGUAGCGAAAUGCGAUAAGUAAUGUGAAUUGCAGAAUUCAGUGAAUCAUCGAAUCUUUGAACGCACAUUGCGCCCGCCAGUAUUCUGGCGGGCAUGCCUGUUCGAGCGUCAUUUCAACCAUCAAGCCCCCGGCUUGUGUUGGGGGCCUGCGGCUGCCGCAGGCCCUGAAAACCAGUGGCGGGCUCGCUAGUCACUCCGAGCGUAGUAAUACAUCUCGCUCAGGGCGUGCUGCGGGUUCCGGCCGUUAAAAAGCCUUAUUUACCCAAGGUUGACCUCGGAUCAGGUAGGAAGACCCGCUGAACUUAAGCAUAUCAAUAAGCGGAGGA